rnacentral:rRNA from 1 species
UCUGGGAUUAGAUACCCUGUUAUUAAAAAUAUGAAUAAAUUAUAAAGAAUUAGAUUUUAAAAUUGAAAUUUAAAAAAUUUGGCGGUAUUUUAAUCUUUUCAGAGGAACUUGUUUUUUAAUUGAUAAUACUCAUUAAAUUUUACUUAAUUUAAUAAUUUGUAUAUCGUCGUCAUAAGAAAAUCUUUAAAAAGAUAUAAUUUUCUAAUUUUUAUAUUUAAAUUUAUGUCAGAUCAAGGUGCAGUUUAUAAUUAAGAAAAAAUUAGUUACAAUAAAUAUAUUUAAGUGGAUAAUUUAAUUAAAUUUAAAUUUAAAAAUGGAUUUGAAAGUAAAUUUUAGUUAUUAUCUAAAAUUGAUUAAAGUUUUAAAAUAUGUACAAAUCGCCCGUCACUCUCUGA